rnacentral:rRNA from 1 species
CCGUACAAGGUCUCCGUAGGUGAACCUGCGGAGGGAUCAUUACACAAUAACCAGGCGGGCUGGACACCCCCCGCUGGGCACUGCUUCACGGCGUGCGCGGCGGGGCCGGCCCUGCUGAAUUAUUCACCCGUGUCUUUUGCGUACUUCUUGUUUCCUGGGUGGGCUCGCCCGCCCUCAGGACCAACCACAAACCUUUUGCAAUAGCAAUCAGCGUCAGUAACAACGUAAUUAAUUACAACUUUCAACAACGGAUCUCUUGGUUCUGGCAUCGAUGAAGAACGCAGCGAAAUGCGAUACGUAGUGUGAAUUGCAGAAUUCAGUGAAUCAUCGAAUCUUUGAACGCACAUUGCGCCCUUUGGUAUUCCAAAGGGCAUGCCUGUUCGAGCGUCAUUUGUACCCUCAAGCUUUGCUUGGUGUUGGGCGUCUUUUGUCUCCAGUUCGCUGGAGACUCGCCUUAAAGUCAUUGGCAGCCGGCCUACUGGUUUCGGAGCGCAGCACAAGUCGCACUCUUCGCCAGCCAAGGUCAGCGUCCAGCAAGCCUUUUUUUCAACCUUUGACCUCGGAUCAGGUAGGGAUACCCGCUGAACUUAAGCAUAUCAAUAAGCGGAGGUAAAAGAAACCAACAGGGAUUGCCCUAGUAACGGCGAGUGAAGCGGCAACAGCUCAAAUUUGAAAUCUGGCUCUUUUAGAGUCCGAGUUGUAAUUUGCAGAGGGCGCUUUGGCUUUGGCAGCGGUCCAAGUUCCUUGGAACAC